AGCUAAUAGAUACCCCGGUAGUCCACGCCCUAAACGAUGUCUACUAGUUGUUGGUGGAGUAAAAUCCAUGAGUAAACGCAGCUAAACGCGUGAAGUAGACCGCCUGGGGAGUACGGUCGCAAGAUUAAAAACUCAAAGGAAUUGACGGGGGGCCCCGCACAAGCGGUGGAUUAUGUGGAUUAAAUUCGAUGCAACGCGAAAAACCUUACCUGGCCUUGACAUGCCACUAACGAAGCAGAGAUGCAUUAGUGCCCGUAAGGAAAGUGGACACAGGUGCUGCAUGGCUGUCGUCAGCUCGUGUCGUGAGAUGUUGGGUUAAGUCCCGCAACGAGCGCAACCCUUGCCAUUAAUUGCCAUCAUUUAGUUGGGUCACUUUAAAUGGGACUGCCGGUGACAAACCGGAGGAAGGUGGGGAUGACGUCAAGGUCCUCAUGGCCCUUAUGGCCAGGGCUUCACACGUAAUACAAUGGUCGGUACAGAGAGUUGCCAACCCGCGAGGGGAGCUAAUCUCAGAAAGCCGAUCGUAGU
rnacentral:rRNA from 1 species